UGGGGAAUCUUAGACAAUGGGCGCAAGCCUGAUCUAGCCAUGCCGCGUGAGUGAAGAAGGCCCUAGGGUCGUAAAGCUCUUUCGCCAGGGAAGAUAAUGACUGUACCUGGUAAAGAAGUCCCGGCUAACUCCGUGCAGCAGCCGCGGUAAUACGGAGGGGACUAGCGUUGUUCGGAAUUACUGGGCGUAAAGCGCACGUAGGCGGAUCAGCAAGUUAGGGGUGAAAUCCCGGGGCUCAACCCCGGAACUGCCUCUAAAACUGUUGGUCUUGAGUUCGAGAGAGGUGAGUGGAAUUCCGAGUGUAGAGGUGAAAUUCGUAGAUAUUCGGAGGAACACCAGUGGCGAAGGCGGCUCACUGGCUCGAUACUGACGCUGAGGUGCGAAAGUGUGGGGAGCAAACAG
rnacentral:rRNA from 1 species